ACACAGAUCGUGAUGAUUAUGGAAAGGUUGUGGAGCCCAAUGAAUGCAUGACCUGUCGUGACAGAACAUCGACCCAACCCCACUGAUCCUGACCGGCUAGAGAGAAAAGACACAAGAUGUUGGGAGAGGAGCAGCAGACUGGAAGGAGAGGAGGACAUAAAGAAAACUCUGGAGGAGCAGCUGGAAAACCACAGGGAGGCUCAUCAGACUGCUUUAGCGCCUCCGAGACAAGAUAGAUGCUGGAUGAACUCGCAGAAUGACUGCAGAGUUCCGGACCAAAACUCCACGUCAUCCAACGUCAUCUACUGUGAGAAAACCUCAGAUUUUUCAAUAAAAAAAAUAGCUAA